CCCGAAAACACACGACUCAUAAGCGAUAAUCCAGUAAUCCCGAAAACAACUGAUUCGUUCAAUGUACAAUAUAUAAUCUCCGCCUUUUGACAUAAUAAACUAGUUCUUCCCUGACUUUCAAAGCCGAAGCUCUGUCUCUCCGUUAUUCGAGAAAACUCAUAGUUUAGCGACGCGUAUCCUGAAAAUUCGUCAAAAUGAAAGUUUAACUUCAGAAACCGUGGAUACGGUUGUGCCGGUGUUAUUUUAUUUCAUCCGCGGAAAUACUCCCGUGACACUUGCAACGUUCGAAACUCGAGCGUACGGCGCGUACGGCGCGGACGGAGGAGGACGAACGCGGAACUGCAUGCGCUGCGAACGACAGCCCGCGAGAGACUGCCGGCCAAUAACGAUGCAUCGUCUUCGACUUGGAUGGCAAUUCUGAAGAUAAUAAAAAAAGAUCGGCGAAAUUUUACGUCGGUGAAGUUUUCGAGAGGUUACUACGCGUGCAAAGCGAAGAAAGGUAUCCGCGUGAUUGGGGUAGGAAGUUCGUCGAAACGAAAGGAACGUGGCCAUGGUGAACGGUGACAAGUGGCUUUUCCGGCGUGCGAAGUAAAAACACGCUCUACAUGCUGAGGAACUGGAGCAGUGGAAGUUGCGCGACCAAACGAGUAAAUCAGGAGGUGUACGAUGGAAUCUGGUCUGCUCUGAAUAGAAAAAAUAAUAACUCAGCUUCCAGGCAGUCCGACGAUAGACCGGCAUCGAAGACCGAUAGACGUUUUCAGCUGACGUAGCCAGUUUAGAAUUG